rnacentral:tRNA from 1 species
CCUUAAUCCACUUGGCUACGUCCGCC